UCAAGUAAAAAUAAUGAAAAA
rnacentral:piRNA from 1 species